rnacentral:lncRNA from 10 species
CUCAUUUUAUGGAGAGGGAAACUGACUCUCAGCAAUGGAAACAUCUCAUCCACAUUUACAAGGCUGAGAAGUGGAGGCUUGUGGCAACAGAGACUCAGGUUUCUGAAUCCUGCUUUAUAACACAUGUGGAUGUUCAAUGCACCUGUGUUACGUACGAGAAGGAAGAGCCCACAGAAUGGGCUGUUCCAUGUGUGUUUUAUGCUUUGUGAACGGGAAGCAAAGAGCACCAGGGAGGCUGGUUGCACCAGAGUGCCUUGACUCUGGCGCUGGCGCUGGCGCCUUGACGGCAGGCGGUGAGAUGCCUGGAGGAGACAUAGACUCUUUCAAAGUGGAGAAAGAGCCCUUUGGAUAACCUAGGUCAGGGAAGCUGGUGGUUUUGUUCUGAAGAGAAGGCUGCAGAUGCAUUGUCUAUGGUCAGAAGUGUCUGUUGGCCUGUCUCUGGGUGAAACUCCAGCUUCGGGACAUGACAGCACGUGGAACAAUGGCGAGGGAUCAGCUUCCCUCUUGGAAAUCAGAUGACCACGGAAUGCCAUAGGUCCGCCAAGCAUCAGAACUUCAUCAGCGUGGCACAGAGGCUCGCGAGCUGAAUUGCCUUUGCAAAGUGUGCUCUGCACGCAUGAUUUUAAACAGCCUGGCCUGCUCCUUUUAUCCUGUCAUGAAUAUUUAUGUUCCUGUUUUGUUCGGAUGGGACAGCCUCAGGCAAAGCAUGAUUCAGAUGGCGCUGGUGGCAGGCAAGGGCUUCACGGGACAGCUAAUUGUCUUCUCAGGAUUGCUGAGAGCAGGAAGGGGUGGUGCUGACCGUGCUGGUGCUGGAGCUGGGAGAGCAGGCGUCUGGAUUUCGGCUCCCCUUAUGGAGUCAGUUUGAACAAGCUGCUUAACUCCUUCAAGCCACCAUUUCCUCAUCUGCAAUGUGGAGACAAUAAUAGCACUGUAUACCUACCUCACAUAGGCAAUCUUUCAUGGCGUGCCGUGAGUUCACUGAAGUCUGUCUCAGCACACACUCACACAUGCACGCUCAUACCCGUGCUGAGUGAAUCCAGUUAAUUCCCAGAGAACUGCAAAUAAAGUGUCAGCACUUUAGGAUGCUGCAUCAAAUACCAUUCUACAAAAGAGGAGAGCUUCAGCCAGUUCUCUUCACCACUUCCAAAGCGAGGAUGAAAAUUCCACCUGCUCGUCAAAACUCAGCCAGAGCUCAGCCUCCCUCCAAUGAGAAAAUGUCCCCUGUGCUACAAGCUGAAGCCACAAAGACCAGUGUCAACGGAGGAGACCCUAGUGCCCACAAAUAAAGCCCAGCACUGUACAUCCACGUAAAGUCCUGUGAAGUCAGAAGUAAGGGAGAAAUUAAGGAUUUAGUAGGGUCCCACAAAGUCUUUGGAACCAGAUCUGAUUGUUUCCUUUAGUUAAAUUCACUCAAACAUGCAAGCAUUUGUAUAAACAUCAAUGUUUUUUUCAGUGAUUCUGUGGGAUUCCUAAAAUGUGCAUCUCUUUAGUCUAAGAUGAAACACUGGUUAUAGGAUGAAAAAAAUUAAACAUGCAUUCUUCAGCUCUCAGACCUCAACCACAAACUGAAGUCCCAGAAAGAGUCAUUAAAUCACAAUGUGUACUUAAAAUAACAAAUUUGAAAUAAAAAAUGUUCCAAGACAUUAAACUUCAAAAUGAUCUCUGACUGUAAUCCCUUCUGGACUUGGAUCUGGACAUCAUUUGGGUCCCCUGAAAACAUCAAAGGAUAGAUUGGCAGGGCAUCCCAGGAGGGGACACAGCAGUCCCUGCUGAGUGGGAACAUAGACAGCCGGGGUGCUGGGCUCCAUAUGGGACGUGCAUUCCUAACAAACAGUUCGCGUGUGGACAUCAGAGUCCAGAAUCAGCUAUAAAAGUAUAUAGAUAACUUUUUCUUUCUUUUUUUUUUUUUUUUUUAAGAUUUUGAGAAAGUGGAGGAAUGAGCAUAAGUGGGUUUACCUGGGGCUGUAAAGAGGACUUCUUUUCAGGAACCCAGGAGGACCAAAUCAGGUCUGUUUCCCCAAAGCGCAGAGAGGUCCUUGAGGCCGUGGUUCUCAAUUCUAGAAAAGGGAUAUGUGCAUAUCAAAGUCAUCUGGAAGCCUUUUCCAAACUUCUACUCUGCCCCUCUGGGGAGAUGGAGAUUUUCAGGCUUGUUCCCACUCCUGCCUGAGAAACCCUGCCUUAGCAGAAUGCCAGCUGGGGUUAUAGACUUCACCUCUGCAGAAAAGGAGGAGCAGUGACUAAAGUACAUAAAACUUCAGAAGACACAGCUCUCCCCAACCUACUGACUCAUCAUAUCCAGCAGAUCAGAUGCAUUUUCAUAACUUCCUAGUAAUUACAUUUAUAUUCAAAAAUAAUUACUUUCUGAAUUUAAUUGUUGGCUGAGUAUUUACAGUCUGUCAGAGGAAAUCCAAAAGGAUAUUGCAAGAUGAGGAGGUGUCCUCGCCUCUAUGCCAGGCCAAGUCCCAGGUCAAGGCCGGGCUGCCAGAGUGGGGUUGGGGAAGUGAUAGAAGCAGAAACUGCAUCUUAAAAGGACUGCUUACAGAACGAGGUGCUCGCCAGAAGCAAAAAACAAAGGAUGGAUGACAGAGCUUCCUGCAAAUGUUUGAAGCACUAUUGUGGGCAAGAGGGAAAUGCUUUGUUUUGUUUGGUGCCAGAGGAUAGAAUUAGAACAGACAGGAAGAGUUUCUAAAGACCCAGACUUUGCAUCAACGUGAAAAGAACAUUGUAACAGUUGUUCAGAAAAGCAAUGGUCAUCUUCUAAGAAGGAAGGAUGCCACCUUUGAACUUGUUCAGGAAGUUCACCUGUCAGGGAUCCCAGGGAAGACACUUCUGAUUGGGAUCAGUUCAACCAGAUGACCUCCAAGAUUCUGUGUAAGAGGUGAAUUUGACGUUUAGAAAUGAGCCGUAAAGAACCAG